GCCAGAAUGGUAUAGUGGUUUGAGCGUUGGGCUAUUACGUUAGAUUAUUACUUUGGAGGCCAGAGUUCGAAUCCCAGCUUGGCCA